CAAAAAUUUUGAUCGACUUUGGCGGGUAGGUGCUCGGUUUUCACCGCGCAGUUAGUCGCAACCCUGACUAACAUCGAUUAAGGUGGAAAUAAGUGAGAUAUUCUCAUGAGCUUUCAUCUUUCUGAAACUGUUUGAGUUUACGUGUUUUUCGUACAGUAUAAAAUAACGGAACACCGUCAGGAUCUACCCCAUUUUU
rnacentral:telomerase_RNA from 1 species